AUGCUAUGAUGGUUGCAUAGUUCAGCAGAUUGGAUCAUGGAGGGAUUUAUCAUUUGUCUGAUGGAUCA